UACGGGGGGUGCGAGCGUUGUCCGGAAUCACUGGGCGUAAAGGGCGCGUAGGUGGUUUGAUAAGGGUGUGGUGAAAGUCCGGAGCUCAACUCCGGAUCUGCCGUGCCGACUGUCAAACUCGAGGGCUGUAGAGGCAGACGGAAUUCCGGGUGUAGCGGUGGAAUGCGCAGAUAUCGGGAGGAACACCGGUGGCGAAGGCGGUUCUCUGGGCCUUACCUGACGCUGAGGAGCGAAAGCGUGGGGAGCGAACAGG
rnacentral:rRNA from 1 species